AAGGGACCGCGGGUUAGUUUGUGUCUUUGGUUAUCUAGCUGUAUGAGUUUUAAUUUCAUAAAGCUAGAGAACCGAAAGUACGAACUGACGCCGAGCACUU
ensembl:miRNA mir9b-2 microRNA mir-9b-2